rnacentral:rRNA from 1 species
UACGUAGGGGGCAAGCUUUGUCCGGAAUUACUGGGCGUAAAGCGCGCGCAGGCGGUUUCUUAAGUCUGGUGUGAAAGCCCACGGCUCAACCGUGGAGGGUCAUUGGAAACUGGGGAACUUGAGUGCAGAAGAGAAAAGCGGAAUUCCACGUGUAGCGGUGAAAUGCGUAGAGAUGUGGAGGAACACCAGUGGCGAAGGCGGCUUUUUGGUCUGUAACUGACGCUGAGGAGCGAAAGCGUGGGGAGCAAACAGG